GGGAUGUGAAAGCCAAGGGGUGGAGCCGCUUGCCCCGUUUCCGGUGACAGGGUCUGGGGAAGGGGCGGCAGGCGCCAUGUCCGGCCGGGAAGGUGGCAAAAAGAAGCCCCUGAAACAACCCAAGAAGCAGGCCAAGGAGAUGGAUGAGGAGGAUAAGGCUUUCAAGCAGAAACAGAAAGAGGAACAGAAGAAACUGGAGGAGCUGAAAGCGAAGGCCGCGGGGAAGGGCCCCCUGGCCACAGGUGGAAUUAAGAAAUCUGGCAAAAAGUAAGCUGCUCCUUGGCACUUGAUGUGAUGCUGUCCUCGACCCCACACGUGUCUGAACAUCUGGCGUCUCGGCCGGAGCAUCUUUAGCCGCCCAUAGUUAGAAUGUAGUGUCACCUUGGAGCCCAUUGUACAUUUACAAAUAAACUUUUGUAAAAAAAAAAAAAAAAAAAAAGAGGGAAAAAAAAAACCACCACUGUAUGGUAGCUGUCUCCUAAGUUGUUUCAUCCAGCCAUCCUUAGCUACGCGUGUAAAGUAGGCCCAGCUGAGAAUCCUGCCAGAGGCUGCUCUGUGGUCUCUAUUCUCGAAAUUCUGUAUCACCUGGAAUUAAACUCAUUGGAAAGGC